GGAGGCCAGUGAAUGGCAAGACUCAGAACACCUCUACACCCUACGUAAAAAAAACUUUUCGUCUAAGUGAAAAGACUUAGAUAACUAAGGAAGACGAAAAGACCCCGCGGAACUUUACUUUAUCUUAUACAAACACCAACAACUAAUAGUAUGAAAAGUUUGAUUGGGGCAAUCUCGGAACCUCCAAGCUUCCGACACCUUAAGAAAAAAAUAAAAAACUCACUAUGGACAAGACAGAAGUUACCCCGGGGAUAACAGCGUUAUCCAACUUGAGAGUACACAUCGAAAGUUGGGUUUGCGACCUCGAUGUUGGCUUAA
rnacentral:rRNA from 1 species